UACGGAGGGUGCGAGAGAUAAUCGGCCUUACUGGGCGUAAAGCGCACGUAGGCGGAUGGGUAAGUCGGAUGUGAAAGCCCUGGGCUUAACCUGGGAACUGCAUUCGAUACUGCUCGGCUAGAGUAUGGGAGAGGGAAGCGGAAUUUCCGGUGUAGCGGUGAAAUGCGUAGAUAUCGGAAGGAACACCAAUGGCGAAGGCAGCUUCCUGGCCCAAUACUGACGCUCAGGUGCGAAAGCGUGGGGAUCAAACAGG
rnacentral:rRNA from 1 species